AACAAUCGAAGAUUUCAUUGAUCGAGCCCCUUUGUCUUUGUUUUAUGAGAAUAAUAAAACAUAUAUCUUUAUAAAGCGCUCGAUACCACCGAUUUAGGAACAAAAUUCACUGUCAUCAAAAUGUCAACGCCAUACAAAAUAUGCGAUCCGUCACAAUAAAGACAUGUAGUAUUUGCUAAUGGGACCAUCAACAGCUUAGUAGAAGAAGCAACCAACAGAUUCCAAUGACCAUUCCUGCACAUCGUACUAGAAAGCGAUGGGUACGAGUUAUCCAGUGAUAUGACAUUAACUGCAUUCAACAAAGAACAGCUGAUGUUGUUGGAGUUUGGAGAGUCUUGGACCCCUGAAGGAUUUUACGCAAUCAACGCACAAACAUCGAGAAAAGAAGAUUGGAACACGCCUUGAAGAGAUUCAGUUGGAUUCGGCUGGACCAUUACCGGUGUCUGUGGAUAUAGGACAAAACACUUCAAUGUAUUACGUUUUUGCUGAUCAGGCUCGUCUCUCCGAAGGCACUGCUGAUAUCAUUAAUGCCAUUCAAGAUCUUAUGUGUGCACAUUUUGUACACAGUUUCAAGUAUGUGAAAUCAGCAUCCAAGUUUCUGGAGCUUUUGCAGCAGUAUUUCCUGAAAGUAAUCCCCUGGAUCCAAAUCAAAUAUUUAUAGAGUAGGCAAUUAACAGUGCAUUGUACAAAAAACUAUAGAACAAUUAUCGAAACAAGGUUUAAAAUAGAACUAUUAUAGAAGAUCAAUCGAAAUCGAGUUGAUAUUUGAAAGGUAAAAUUUCGACAGAGUAGAAGCAUUAUAGAUUAAGCCAAUUUCAGGAUGCUCGUAAACCACAUUUGCAAUUAGCAUUUGUAGUUUCUGCAUUGUUCUAUUAGCUUUCUUCGUGCAAAUGGAAUUAUAUUUUCUAAUAAUA